CAAAUGAUUUACUAUCUUUAUAUUUUAAUAGCCUGAAUUCGUAACAUUAUAAUCUAGACGCGGCAGUGGAAGAGAAAAUAAUGUGCGUGACCGCACGAAGAAGAGAUGCCAGUCUGACACAGGUCGAAACCGGGCUGACCCACGUGGAAAUAAGUCCACAGCACGUGCCUCAGGAGUAGCGGGGAAGUUAUUAUGGUGUCAAAGCAGGAACAAAAAGCAGUGCUUAAAAAUCUUGGUAUUUGAAAGAUGAAUUUAUGGCCGCCUAAAUCCUCGAGUGGAAAGACUGAAAUGCCUUUAUUUCGACUGCUCGUUGCCUGCAAAAAGCCACCAGCAUGAUAAAGAGCCGUGGAACUCUUCUGGAACUCUUCUGGAAGCGUUCUUCUACUGUAUAAAAACUGUGGCCGCUCUUUUCUUCCUCAACCCCCGCCCCCACCUCGUCAACAUCCUUAUCACAUGUUCUCUGGCCCAGUGGCUUCGAGUCAGGCACUAACCACACUGCCUUUUGUCCUCUGGCAAAGAUAAUGCAUCUGGGUUUCCUUAGUGACAUUCUAAACACAGGUUUUCUGUCCUUCUGUAUGGAGCGCACAGUCUGGGUGGAUGCCUGAUGUGUGCGAGGCCCCCACCCCCAUCUACACACCACGCUGGCUCCCAGGUUGGCCUCUGUGUUCCGUCCAGCCUGGCAUUGUCAGGGGUGGGGGCGCUGCGUGAGGUCCUGAGGUCGCUCUCCAGCGUCCUGCCCCACAGCCACAGGGGGCUUUUGUGCCCUGCCUUCUUGAUUUGCUUCUACUUUCUGUUGUUGCCAUCUGACUAAGAGAAUCACCGUGUAAUCAUUUCUGGAGGACACCUGCAGCACCGGCUUUUGUCAACAGGACCACGGACACAAACAAAACACACACACUCACUUCCCACCGGGAUGUGACAUUGUGGACCAGCCCUGAAUGCGGGCACACGUGGGAGAUGUGGAAGCUGACGACUUCAGGCAAGACUCUUCCCCUCUCCUCCGUGGCUUCCUCAGUGGGCUGUCCGGGAGGGGCUGAGAGAGAAUGUCGGCCGCUAAAAGCUUGACCGUCUUUAAGUGUGCUUGGGGGUGAGGGCGAGGGGAGGGAGAACCGUGAGCCAUCACUAUUCUGAGGCCGAUUUAACCAAAUGCCUAGGGGGAAAUCUGGCUCUCAGAUAGGCUGGCGCUUAAACAUGAAUGAUAUACAUGUUACUCAUGGUACAGCGGAGGGAAAGACAUCACUCACAGGAAGUGAUUACAGUUCUUUAUCUUCUGGGCCCCAGUCGCUAAGGAAAUUCUGACUGAGUGAGCCAAAGAAAUCAGUCCCUUUGGAGUUCAGGCUAGUUAGUCAUGACAGCUCGUGUUUGCUGUUAUUAAUAGCGGCCGCAUUUACCAAGUGGACAGACCUGCAGACCUAAGCACAAGUCCGUGUGCACGAGCUUGCUUUGAUGCACAUUUGAGGUAAACACAGCCCAGCCCCAUUUUUCAAAUAAAGAAAUCGAGAGCCUCAGUCUGGCAGGGAGGAAGAUUCCAAUGGAGGCUUUUGAAGUUCGAGUGCCAUUCCUUCUGCUCUUAGAGCUCUUUGGCUUAGACGCGGGCCUCUGUGAGCUUUCUCGCAGAGUCAUGCCAGCGCAGGCCAGGCACUGGUCAUGCUGUGCCACGCGGUCAGACUCGUCCGUACGUGCUAGCGGCAGGUGCCGUGAGUCCCCGAUUUUUAGUCAGAAGAAAAAUGCCAAAUCAUGUUUGACUUUUACCAACAAGUUUCCUCGGGCCUGGAGCGGGAGCUGUCUUCCGGCAUAAUUAACUCAGAAAACGUGCGUGUCUCUGGGAGCUAGAGGGCUUGACGGAGGUCGUGAUGUAGAUGAAUGUCACAUACUUUCAUAAGGCUGCUUUAUUCCUUUUUGAAAUGUCAUCUCGGGAAUCGUUCAUUUUUCCGGAGACGGGCAGCUUUUAUUUCCACUGGCAAACACGCGGUUUUACACGGGAUGUCUUUCAGUCUUGGCGAGGCAACGAGAGAAGAAGAAACACAGGACUUGUUUAGGGCUGCAGUGAUAACUGAUUGAAUGUUAGCUUCACUGUCAAAAUCAGAACUUUCCCAUACUAUCUGAGGAAUGAAAACACAUCCUGAUUAGUAAUCCUCACCAAGUUCGGAAGGUUAGAGGUGAUUCAGUCUCCGUGAAUGUGGUCUGGUCGUAUUUUAAGAAGGGCCUCUGAAUCAUGUGGAGUUGUGUCAAGAUAUGUGUGAUGUUAUGUUAUUUUAAAAAGGCAGCUUGGAGAGAGGAAAUUGAACCAUCUUUUUUCAAAAAACUCUGCCCUUUAAUGGAAGAAAAGGGCAGGUCAUUUCCCACACAUCUCACUUACUCUGUGCAAUGUGGGCUGUGAUGUAUUUUUACCACAGACAUAUUCUUAAUGUGCUCUCAUAUAACCUUACUUACUUAGGGUAUUUUAAGUUUGUAACUUGAGCUGUUCUUACCUAAUAUUUAUUGAUAGAUGUGAUUAAAUGCAUGACUUAUAAUCAAAUAAAAUUUACUAUUGAUCUAUUUUUCUCUUGAUGGCUUAGCCAUCUGGAGGGAUGGCUGUGUAGACAUAUGUACUGUUGUAUGAAUAUAAAAAAUGCAUAAUUCUAAGUGAACUUCUCAACUUUUCUCAACUCAGAAAAAGAGG